rnacentral:lncRNA from 1 species
UGGAGCUCCUUCCUUUCCCAAUCCACUGUAUGGAUGUACAGAUUGAUCAAUCUUUUUAGCUUCUCUUGUUCGUUGAUUCUUAUUUUAACUGGUGAUGAGUUCUCGGCAGCAUGUCGCCCUUUAUUCGUGAGUUUUCCCCCUCCUUUUAAGAAAAGUGGUGGCCAUUUUUAAUUCCUCUAGUUUUGACCCAGAAGUUACCAGUUUCUUAUGUGAUUCUAAUUUACUAGUGGUUUGAUGUUGUUUUUGCUCAUGAAGGUUCUUGGUUGAGUGGAGUUUGUGUAAAUUUCUUUGAUCUAAUUUUCUCUCUGUCUCUGCUUCAAGGGGGAAGGGAUGAUUUGAGGUCUAUUGAGGACCCCAUAUAAUGUUAUGCAUCUUGUAAGAGAACAUCGAUGGAUAAAUUGGGGCUAAACUGGAAGAAUGUAAAAGAAUUGCUGUAAUCCCGAUAAUCGGUGGAAACGUAUUUUUCGGGGGGUCUCCGGGAUUUUUUCCUUUUUAUGUGAAAUGAUAAGUUUAAUCUCUUUGUGCGCUAAGAGUUCGUGGUUUAAAAUACCUACAGACAUAAGAGCGUUGAGGGCUCCUCCGCCACUCUCAUGUUCCAAGGAGAAUCCUAACUAUUUUCAUUUAUUAUUUUCUGAUCUUACUGAACUUUUUAUUUUAUAUUUAUAAUGUUUUACAAAAUUUUGUUCUCUUGUUUUUGAUGAUAAAUUUUUGUUAGUAUGCUGGCUUAGGCACGUCACCAUGAAAAAACAAUUGAUUAGCUCAUGAGGCAUGUUGUUGCAUGCAUUGGAUGUAUCAAGGAAUGCUCUUUACAAUGUAUAAAGGAGGAGAUAUAAUAAGGUUGGAAUAAUUGAAGAUAUAUUUG